rnacentral:rRNA from 1 species
CACAAGCGGUGGAGCAUGUGGUUAAUUCGAAGCAACGCGAAGAACCUUACCAGGUCUUGACAUCCCUGACAACCCGAGAGAUCGGGCGUUCCCCCUUCGGGGGGACAGGGUGACAGGUGGUGCAUGGUUGUCGUCAGCUCGUGUCGUGAGAUGUUGGGUUAAGUCCCGCAACGAGCGCAACCCUCGACCUUAGUUGCCAGCUUUCAGUUGGGCACUCUAAGGUGACUGCCGGCUAAAAGUCGGAGGAAGGUGGGGAUGACGUCAAAUCAUCAUGCCCCUUAUGACCUGGGCUACACACGUGCUACAAUGGGCGGUACAAAGGGUCGCGAACCCGCGAGGGGGAGCCAAUCCCAAAAAGCCGCUCUCAGUUCGGAUUGCAGGCUGCAACUCGCCUGCAUGAAGCCGGAAUCGCUAGUAAUCGCGGAUCAGCAUGCCGCGGUGAAUACGUUCCCGGGCCUU